ACUGGGGAAGGUGUGCCAUUUUUAUUGUAAAAGAUUAGUAGCUACCAUAAUUUCUUAAACACUUAUUCCUCCGAUUGUGACCGAUCCCAACAUAUGCGGUUAGUUGGAAAAUGAAUUCUAGAACCUGACCUUGUUCUUCUAUUUAAUGUAAUGGACACUGGUCUUGUAUUUUUAGAUUAUGCAUCAGUUUUGUUGACACGGUUAAAUUUUUUUGUGUUGUUAUUCCAUGUUUCCAGCUGUUCUCUUGUAUAUGGUUCUCACAUAUUGCUGAUCUUUCUCCAGAUACUUUUCAAGAGGUAAAGAGCAAGCGUGAUAAGAAAAAGGAGGUCAGUUGAGUUUGAGCUUUAUUUCUAUCUGCCUGAUGUUCUUGGUAAUUUGAGCUCACCCUUGAUAGCCAACUUUUAUUUUGUACUUAAAAACUUGUACCUUUUUUUUUCUGUUAGAAGAAUCAAUAGGGUCGUCCCCGACUGUGCUCGUAAAAGCUUGUAUAUAAUCUUCUCUUGCACAUAUUGUUCUGUUUCAUUGGAUAUAUAGAAUCAAUAACAACUUUUCGAUAUAUGAGAUAUUUAGUUUCUUGACUCGUGAUUGAUCUUUCUGUGUUAAAAGCUUACAUAUGCAAACUCACUCUCUUGAUAUAUUACGGCAUCUCGCUUUAAUAUGGAAAAAGUCCAUUUUACUCCCUUCAACAAUUCACUUCGUCCGCUUAACCCCCCGAGAAAAAUUUAGGCUCAAUUUACUCCCCCGACAAUUCCAAUUAGUCCAAUCUACCCUCUAAUGAUAUUUCUCUUAUUUGUUUCUCCGCGUACGAAUUGAAUUUUAAGUUCAAAUUUUGUGAGUGGAUAGAGAACAUGAUGUCAUAUGUUAAAAAAUGCAUUAAGAAUUUUUCAUGGUUAUUUUCAUAAUUUGGAAACAUUUAACAUGAACUUUAUCACAAAAAUACAAUUCUGCAUGAAAAAUAUUCAUGAAAAAAAUCAUAAUGUAUUUUUCUAGCAUAGGGCAUCAUAUUAUAAGUUACAUUGCAAAAUUUAAAGUUCAAAUUCCACUUGUAAGUGGAGAAAUAAAAAAGAGAAAUCUCAUUAGGGGGUAGAUUGGACCAAUUGAAAUAGUUUGUGGUAGUAGCUUGAGCCUAAAUUUUGUUUAGGGUGUUAAGUGGACAAAGUGAAUUGUUGAGGGGAGUAAAAUGGACCUUUUCCCUUUAGUAUUGAUAUCUUACAUUAGCGUAUAUUGAAUUUUCUCAUAGGUUAAAGAAAUGCCAGAACCAAGAUCUCGAGGAGCAAGUAACUCAAACAGUCGAGGCACUAGAGGUGGUGCAGACCGUUCUGGACGAAGCAAUUCAGUUCAGUCUGGAUCCAGUGGCACUGGUAAGAUUUUUUCGCCCAAAGUUUGUAUUCAUGAGCUUUUAAAUUUGGUCACUCAGUUUCUUGUUUUUCAUUUUCAACACAACCAGAUUAUAUGGCUUCAAGAUCAUCGAUAUUGGGACCUGCUGUGGCAGCAUCCAAUUCAACUCAGAAGCAAACAGUUCCAUGGUAACAAAUAUUCAGGAACUGGAGGUUUCAGGUAGAUCUAGUUGUUUUCUAUGUAUUACAGAUAGCUUAUCUGUUUGAUUUUCAUUCUUGUAGUUUGUCUGCCAACAAAGAUGUGGUUCCUAAUGGAUCAGUUGGAGCAGCACAAUCAUCAUCUGGAUUUCAGCCCGCUUGGUGUGGGGUGCCAGGUCAGAUGUCAAUGGCGGAUAUUGUGAAAAUGGGUAGACCUCAAGUAAGGUCUUCUGGCAAGAUGGCAACAGCAGACAUAUCAUAUGCUGGUCAAACCCCAUCUUUGUCUAGCUCUGUAAACCAGAACUCAAAACAUUCUGCAAGCACAGCCCUACCGUCAGCGUUUGACCAGGGAUUUCCUGCUCUCCCAGAUCCUAUUCCUCCGAAUGUGAAUUCUAGUCAUGCUUCUGCUGAAAACAACCAAAUGCAUCAGAAUGAUUGGUUUCCACAGGAUGAGCCACCAUCGGGAACUCAAUCAAAAGGCAUUGAGACAUCCGGUGACACAUCAGUAUCUGUUACACCAUUUGACUCAUCGGUGGUUGUUGCUGAUGCAGCUUACUCGCAAGAAAAUUCUCACACAGAAGAGAACAGCUCAACUAAACCAGCAAUAUCUUCUGAGAGGCACUUGGAAAUCCUUGAGGAGAACAAUCAAUUCAAUGAUGGAUUAUUACAGAACUCAACUACGUACCAGGCUCAAGUGCAUUCAUAUGUUGAUAAUGAAGGUUUGUAUCUGCCAAAUCAACACACAUCUCUUUCCUGAAAUGGAAUUUAGGAGCUCUUUAUUUCUGUCUGUCCUAGCGCACGGCACAUUUAUACUAAUAUGAUCUAUAAGAGAGAUAAAGGAAUACCAUCUACUGUUUUCGCAAGGCCCAUCAUUCAGGUGUUGAAAGGAUUUACCUUUGCAUAAGAAGCCCAAAUUGGCACAUCAAGUAAUUUUGCAUUUUUUUUUCCUUGUCCCUUAUAGUACCUCGUAGUGCCAGUGUAUGCUAGCAAUGAGAACACAGCCUUUGAAGAGUCAUUUUAAUCUUAGCACAUCAACAAUGUCAGAUGUAACGAGCACAUUGUUUUUUUUUAAUUUAGAAGCAGCAUUCCUUCUCAUGACUAAAUAAAUAGCAAUGGUAAUAUAAUAUCAUUAAACAUACAUGAAUCAUCACAAUUCACAUCAAGACCAAGAUUGUUGCAUUAGUAUUGACGGUCUGAAAGGUGGGAAAUUGAGAUGUAGAACUUGUAGAAGGAUUUGUGUUGAGCCUUAAAUAGAUAUGUUUAAUAAGAUCACAGUUUUCAGCAAUAUAAUUGUUUAGAAGGAUGCACACAAUUUUAGAUAACUAGAACUGACCUCUGAAUAUGCUUCUUUUCUUCCUUUUUUUCUUUUUCUUGCAGCCGAGGUUUCCAAUCUUGACGCGGAAUCAGCUGCGGCAAACUUUCAGCAUCUAAGCCUACAGGAUGACGAUUUAGUUGCAACUAAGUCUACUGAAGAUAAUCCUGCGGUCAUACUACCUGAUCAUCUACAAGCUGCAAAUGCAGACUGUGCUCACUUGAGCUUUGGUAGUUUUGAAUCUGGUGCCUUUUCUGGCUUGCUUUCAUCAAAGGUACCUAAAAGCAGUUUGGAGGAGGAGGAGGUGCCUAUUCCAGAUGAAUCCCCAUCAGUUAAUCAAAUAGAUGUUAGGUGAAAACUUUCUCCUAAAACCUUUCAGUUGAUUACAUGAGGUGUCCCUCUUCUGAUGAGUUUGUUAUUUACAGGAAUCAAGAUUACUAUGAAAAUGGUGCUCUAAAUCCUCCAGCAAAUGAGGAUGUUGAGACCAGAAUUGGUAGUAACAUGGAAACUAUUGAUGGACCAUCAGUUUCAGAGCCUGAUGUACUGAGGCAGGGUGCCCUAGAUGUGCCUGGUCUUCAAUAUAACCUGCCAUCGGUAUCAAGUCAUGCAUAUUCGAACACAACACAGCCAAGUGCAAUGGAUGAUACACAAGGAAACACUCAAUCACAACAUCUUUCCCCCUUUUCAAGCUUACUGGUACAUUUAUCUUUUUAUCACAGAGAUAGGCUGACUGUCAGUUCUAAUUCUGAAAUAAAAGAGCUAGAAAUUUAACUUUUCACACAAGUACUUGUCUAGGCUCAUAUCCUGUAGGGCAGUUAGGCAUGAAGCUAUUUGGCUGAGAACCUGUAGUGCACCCAGGAAUGAAGCUGUUUAGCCUAUAUGAGAUAAACCAGCAUCCAGUUCUGAAUUCUGUGUCGUCUUAAUAAUUGAAGGGUGUAACUAGUUUGAUUUCAAUUUUAAUGCAUUGAAUAAUAUUAAUAUGGCAAAAUGCAUGGUUGCCUUCUCAAAGUUAUAUGAUCACAUGAACGUUGAAUUAAAACUUUAUCAUAUUUCAUGUAGUGAUGAUUGUAAUGGGAUGCCAUUUAUUCUUUUAUUGUCUUUCUUUGCCAAUUUUCCUGCUGUUAUCUUUUUCCUUUUGUAAUCCUUAUAUUUGUUCUUCUAAUAUCAUUUUGCAGCAACCCAAUAACUUGUUGGGGUCAAAUCUUGCCCCUCUUCGGGACUUUGACUUUUCACAGUUGCUUCAAACACAGUCAGCUACAAAAUAUAACCCACCUGUUGCACCUAGUAAUUUGCCUGGAAUCUCCAUGCAAGAGGUAAUUUAAAAUUAUGACAUAUUUCUGUAUUCGUUAUCCGUUUUGUUGCAAGUACAAUAGAACAUAUUGUGUGUGCUUUUGACAUGGUUCUGUAAUUUUGAUUUUUUUUUUAUGUAUGCUUCAAAUGUCCAAUUGAUAAGAAGCGGUUAAGAUCUGAACUCAUUAAAAAGAUCUGUUGUGAGUUUGUGACCCCACUUUUAAAACUAAUUAAAAAGAUAUGUUGUGAGUUUGUGACUCCACUUUUAAAAUGGAGUAUCUAUUCAAGUUCUGAUAAAGAUCUGUUGUGAGUUUGUGACCCCACUUUUACAAUGGAGUACUAUUCAAGUUCUGAUGACUUGAUUAUUUUUACCAAUUCAUUCAAUUGUGUCACCUAUUCAUACUUGCAGAGAUGAAUCACAUGACAAUAAAAAAGUAACUUAGGGCAAUGCAAGUUUGUAGUGUGUAUAGAAUGAAUCAUACUUAUGUAGAGUAUCAGUUUUAUUUUUGAGAUAGCUUGAUGGGCUAGUCUCAUUUUAUCACUGUGUGGUAAUGUGGUAUUGACGUUGAUGUGCUGCCAUUUCAAUAUUUUCUUUCUUGUUAUCGCUUUUCACUUUUCUUGAACUUUCUCCAGACCUUGAAACAAGGAGGCUUCCCCAACACUCAGUCUACGCAACAUGUUCCCAGUACGAGCAUCCCGUCAGGGCUUCCUCUCCCGCAACAACUGCCUGUACAUCCAUACUCUCAGCCAACUCUACCCCUUGGGCCCUUCGCCAGUCUGGUUGGCUAUCCGUAUAUGCCUCAGAACUACUUCCUACCAUCAGCAGCCUUCCAGCAAGCGUACUCCAGUAAUGGACCUUUCCAUCAGUCUGCUGCUCCUGCUGUUCCUGGAGCUGGAAUGAAGUAUUCAAUGCCACAAUACAAGAGCAGCCCUCCUGCUUCGAGCCUACCACAGCCAUCAUCACUCUCUGGUUAUGGAGGAUUCGGAAAUGCAAAUAAUAUUCCUGGAAAUUUCAGCCUAAAUCAGGGUGCCCCCUCUGCGCCCACAACUUUGGGGUUUGAUGAAGGUUUAGGCACACAAUUCAAAGAUCCAAAUCAUUAUGCGGCGCUACAGCAGGUAAUAAGAUACUUCAUGCAAUUGAUCUUCCGGUGUCCUUGAUUGCAUGUGUAGCCUUGUUUGACUGCGGGAACUUCUCGCACUUCACACUUCUGUUUCUAUUCUUUGAUUUGGGUGUUUCUUUCAUUCUGAAUGGUGCAUUUUUCAUUUCAGAGUGAUAACCCGGCAAUGUGGCUUCAUGGAGCUGCUGGUUCUAGAGCAGCAGUUCCACCUGGCAACUUCUACGGUUUCCAGGGACAGAGCCAGCAGGGUGGCUUCCGCCAGGCACAGCAACCCUCUCAAUAUGGUGGUCUUGGGUACCCGAGCUUCUACCAGUCGCAGGCCGGUCUGCCACAGGAGCACCCCCAGAACCCCACUGAGGGAAGCCUGAACAAUUCCCAGGCGGCACCGUCCCAACCAUCGCACCAGCUCUGGCAGCACAGCUACUAGACACCUGUGCUCUCGUGGGAGAAGCCUCUCUACACUGCCAGGUUAUCUGCAAGCCUUGGCAUGCUGCGCCGUGAAGUGAGCAGACUAUCAGAGCUGCCGUCUUGAGCGCUGCUGAGCAGAGGAUGAUCCAUCCAACAGCGUCGAAGUGUGUUUUUUUCUUUUCUUUUUUGCCAGUUGUUGCGCGUGUCUUCGGGACUAAUUUCAGCUUGUCGCGGUUUUUUACUUUGAUAGCGAGUGAUGUUGCAGAGGUGCUAUCUUGUAACGGUAAAGUCCUAACUCAUCUAACAGAUCUGCUUCUCAUACCUUGUGAUGUGCCAUCUUUUUCCCCUGAUGUCCCCUCACCUGCUGCUAAUCUUGAACGCAGUCAGGAUCGGUGUGUAGUUGCUCUGUCGUUUGGCACAAAGCCCCAGCGGUGAUUAGUGACUACACGGUGACUCAACAGGUAGUCAGGCUGUUCCAUGGAAAUUGACAUGUAUCAUUGGAGUUUCGUCUAAAUUCCAGGACUAUUAAAUUUACGACAAAAAAGUACUCGUUACAAAUUUGGAAUAGCCCGUCCUUUUCCAUGUUAUGGAUUAUGCUCAUCGAACAAUGCAGAAAGUGGGAAUUGGCAAUAGCUGGAUGUCUGCCCCACACGCGGGCGGGGCAUAGCAGAGAAUUCGACCCUUUAUUGCCUAGUUGCACGCCUGCUCCUACCGCAGCAGCUGAACUACGGACUGAAAGUAGCCUAUCUCGAAGAAAUUAGCAAAUUAAAAUGAGCUACUGAACAUGUACUGCUAUACUAUUUUUCAGCAAGUCAAAACUCACAAUCAGGAGACCUCGACAUUUGACUUCACCAGGCGUAUACGGCUUCCCCCUUCCCAAGAAAAUACGAGUUACAUGUAAACAGUUUGAGUGGAGCACGUAAAAACAGGUCUGAUUUGGUCGACACGUUUGAGCUACUUCUGGACAUUGGCUCUCUUGCUUAAAAUGCCUUCUAAAUUGAGAUGAUUGAUCUUUGCAGCAAGGAUGAAAUCAUUAUCUGUUAAACCUCCUACAAACAUAAUAAAGGAUUAACAUUAGACUAGAGGCCGUGCUUUUAGCAGAAAGCAAAAAUAAAGUUUGCUGAGGUUUCCAGCUUACAACUGAGAGCACAUUUGGCCUACCAUCGAUGCCCAACUCGAGCUCUAACAAGACACCUAACUCUAACCCAGUAGCAGUAGGCAGUAGCUAACGAAAAGUAACGGUUUCAUCCUAGAAUCCUAUAAAGUAUCUCAAUUGCUGCAAACUUCAACAGUACAAUUUAAUAUAAACAAGUGAUCUUAUAUUUUUGAAAGAAAAUAAACAGGUGCUCUCAUCAUUCUUUUUAAGCUUUAGCAUGCCUUUCCCUAGACAAAUUUGUAAUAAAUUCAACACGCAAACUGCUGUUAUGAGCUCAUACUUCUCUCAUGAUUUCUUGACUAAUUCCUUAAAAAACAAUUCUAAUAUUUGAUUUCCUCAAGAUGUUGAAAACCCUAUAAAAUAUAAUGAAGCACAAAAGGAAAAGGCCAUAUGGAUAUGGUUAUUUGGAUUGGAAAAAUUGCUAAUCAAGUAUCAAAUAUGAAUAGCUGAUGCAGUAAAACUAAAUAACUACCAAAACGUCAUCUGACCAUCGGACUCACAGUGAUCAAAGUCACGCAACAGUGCAACAAUUUUGUAACGAAUAGUUUGAAAAGAAGAUAAUACAAAUGAGUUGCUUCAGUGACAUAUAAAUCAAAAUAAACUAGGAAAAGAAAGCUCUUGAAUCACUUACUGACAGAGUGAGUCCAAACAUCAAUUUUCACGUUAUUCCAACCAACAAGAUGAAGAUCUGGAUGGUGACCUGGAGAAAGCAUAUCUGUUUAAACAAACUGUGCUCACAUUGUUAUCGAAAGAAUUGCACCUAUACAAAUUUGUUGGAUUCUGUGUGUACUCAUGAUCAGUUGAAGGAGUUUUUUCACAAAAUAUAAUGAAACCCUCACAGCAUGCUACACAUAAAUGUCACGUGUAAGGAUCUAACUACAGUAAACACUAUGCAUUAGGUAACAGAAAGUAGCUUGGUUCUGACACCUUGCAUCUAUGAGGGGAUAGUUAUCUCCUGAAAUGUUUCAGUUUCCAUAUUCAUCAUAGGAAUACUGGAAUAAUUCCCCAGGUUUGACUGGAGCAGGAUUCCUAGCUCUCGUGUCCAUUAUGUUGUUCACAUAACAAUUCAACAGGAGUUGAUGCAGUUAUUUAAUUUUUAUUAGAAAGCAUAGAUGAAAGAUUGAACAUUGGGUAAAUAAACAAAAGACAGUAAGUAGAACAAAGAGAAGAAAGGACCUUCUUCCUCAGCAAUAGCAGCAACAAGCUGAAAGAACUCAAGUCCUUUAAGAAAGUUCUUCACCUUCCAUGCUCUAUGCAAUUUCAGAAUACCACCUUCAGUUGUCAGUUCCCAACCAUUCACCUGUUUUCAGGUAUCAGCCAAUGGAGUAGGAACAUGAACAAUCUUAUCAAAGAUUUUCACUACAAAAAACUAAAAAAGAUGAAUACCUGUUCAAGCAAUUUUUUAGCAGAAUCUUCUGACAUGGGAUGUAAAUCCUUAGAGCUGCAUGGAACACAACUUUUCUUUGCUAAUUCUGAAAUAAUAGAAAUGCACAGAAUUAUUUACAAGUGUCAGGUGUAGACAUACCAGGAAGAAUUUAAAAAGUUCAGGUCGGGUUAGAAGAAUGUGAUCCUAAGUUCCUAACAUAAUCCUUAUCCAAUUAAGAAUAUAAUAUAAUGCCUAUAGGAGCAUAAAAGCUACAGGACCAUAUGUAAUUAAUGCAUCAUUGUUCGUUCACCAAGGCCAUAAGAAGGUACCCUGAAUAUAACUCAGGGAGUGUAAUCAUAUUUGCAUGAUUAUGAUGUACUUAUUAUUGUCGCAGUGAUAGAUGAAAUGCUUGCACAGGGACAAACUAUGUAUAGAGUUGACCGACACAUUAACUGUAUGCCUCAAUUGUGCAAGAUGCAUUUCAGUCUGUUGGAGGCAACUUUGAAGAGACCAAUGACCUUGACUCUCAGGGGAAGUAUGGCACCCUCUUGCAGUCAACACUUUAUUUUCAUCUUGCCCUCUUGUGUCCAUCUGAUGGAAAGGACUGCAAGAUAGUGAUGCCUCCAAUCAGUGAACAAACUAUAAAGGCACACAUAGGACAUGAAACAAUGCCAUUUGUCAGGGAGCUUGAAACAUAAGAGCGGAAGAGCCCAUAGACUUAAGUUCAUCUGGUGAAUAACCAUGAGUUCAACAAACCAUAAGUAGAGCUUCAGAAAUUUGGUUAGCUAAGUCGAACGUUACAUUCUUUUGAUCUAUAGCCAUGUAUCUAACAAGACUCUCACAGGGGCAAGGCACGAAGAAGGGGUUAAAGGGCUUAUCUUCAUGUUGAUUGGACAAAAUUGCACUGCUGUGCCUGUGCCUAACACCCCUUUGCAUUUUUAUUUUCAGUGUCAUAUGAAGCAGUGUACAGUACUUAAAGCCAACCGAGCAUACUAACUCUACAGUUUUUUUUCUCCAAACCAAGCAGAUUAUUGCACGGCAAAAAUACGAAACCUCAAUUCCACAUGAAACAUCAAUUCUUAAUGGUUUUAUCUGGCGGGUUCUUUCAAGUUAAUAAUCCGAAUAUGGAACCAGACAGUGUGAUCCUCGUAAAUGAGCCAACUAACACAAACUCCAUGCAUCGACAUCAAGGCUAAUAGCGACAACCACUUGUAGGGUACGCAUUAGACAUGCCACAAUGAUGCUCGGGAAGUUGCAGAUAGAACGAGGCCAUACCGCCCACACCCAAGAAGCGAAGGCUUCCCGGAGACGAGAGGCCAGCGGGACGCCGCCUUUGCCUGCACGGCCAACGGAAAGAGGCACAUCAGCGGCGCGCGGGAGGUGUUCGAUGAUAUGCUCCCACGCAGGCGGGUCGAUCUUUCCCAUGCUCACCUGGCUUGCGUAGGAGCAUGGUAGGAGGAGUCGAGCCUGCACCGUUGCUGCCCGGAUCAUCGGGGGCUUCACCGGACCCGGAGAAGAAAGCGGAGUCGGCGCAGAGGGACGGCACGGCGGUCUGAGAGCCUGACAGACUGGUUGGGUAUCAGGGGCCGGUGCGAGUGGUCGUGUUGAGUUCAGACUUGAAAUGGGCCUCGACAUUUUCGCGAGGAAGAUGGGCCUCAAUUUAUGCUAAGAAGAGUGAGUGGGCCUCAAGUGUUUCUUAAGAAAUACGGGCCUCUGGUUCGUUUUUGGAGGAAAGGAAGACGGGUCCCGAAUUUCUUCUCCCCCGAUGGAGGCUCGCUCAAUUCUUCGUCAGUAUGAAGAGGAAUUGUUGGCAGAGGCGACGGGCGACGGCUAGCACCCAAAAAACAUCCUGAAUUCCUGAUUGCUUUCUUGCAGCGCCCACAGUUAUCCCAGAGGGAACACGGAAGACAACCAAACUUGCUGGUGGAGCUUUGCAUUCUUUCAGCAAUCGCCGUGACGAAUUCCUCACGUGCCAUGCUUUGGGUGUUUAUGGACAGUGCGACACGCAACUCCUCUUGCGCUAGCGUUUUCGUUUCAGCCGGGAAGGUGAGAACAAAAGUAGUUGGGGUUUCCCAUUCACUUUCCACGCAUUGCUUGCUUACUAGUUUCAAUCAAUCUAUCUGAAACAAAACUCUCCCUCUGGGUACAAAGUGGAUGCCAGCACGUAGAAACUGGCGCUUCGUCUCGAUCCCACGGCGCAUCGAACACCGCCCAGAGAUCAGACGGCUAGGACUGCCGACCAGCCACGUCACUAUAAAUUGACCCACGUAGGCGAGCGGGCUCCACUCUCCUUUCGCGAUCCCCAGUUCCCCCACUCGCCAGUGCAGCACGGGGGCGGGCCGCGGUUGCUCACUUGCUCCUGCUCCCCCUCCCGCUCGAGCCAUCAGGUGAGUGCAGAUUUCUUCGCUUCGGAAUUCGGGUUGCGAUUUACGGAAUCGCCGGGGGGAUCGAACAAAUUUGAGCACUCCUGCUCCUGCUGUUGAUCUGGAUCAGUAUUGGUCAGUUUUUGCAGUGUGGGCGGAUUGAAUCAGACUGAGCCACAAUUCCGCCAUUUUUCCGUUGGUUCGUCUAAUUCUUUUUGUUCGAUAGGUUGGUACCCAAACUCCCCCAAAUUGGUGAUCAGUUCGAGCAGCCGUUGCGAUUUUCCCUAAACCCUUCCAAAAGCGGACUUGAUCAAUCUCGCACUAUCGCUUCACCUUCCUAAUUUGGAUUUCGAUUCCCAGCUCGCCGUGCAGACAUGGGAACCGGCCGCGUCCCGCUGCUCCUCAUCCUCCUCGCCACCGCGCUGCUGCACGCCCUCCUCGCCCCGCCGGCAGAGGGCCUGGUCCGCAUCCCGCUGAAGAAGCGGCCGGCCGACAAAAACGGCCGCCUCCACGCCGAGCGGCGCCGCGGCUUCCUCGGCAGCAGCAACGACGCCGCCGCCGCAGCCGCGUUGAACAAGGCCGAGGCCGAGGAGGAGGGCGACAUCGUGGCGCUGAAGAACUACCUCAACGCGCAGUACUACGGUGAGAUCGGCAUCGGCACGCCGCCGCAGACGUUCACCGUCAUCUUCGACACCGGCAGCUCCAACCUCUGGGUGCCCUCCUCCAAGUGCUACGCAUCGGUGCGCACCGUGUUGGGUUCUGUGAUUGAGACUGUUUUAAGUAGUAUACUUGCGUGUGUGGCUCUAAAAUAGAGUGAUAAUUUUGGUUCUUGCUGCAGAUUGCUUGCUAUUUCCACGAGAGGUACAAGGCCGGCCGAUCGAACUCUUAUAAGAAGAAUGGUUUGUGACUUAGUCCUCCUAGUUCCUACGAGGCCCCUCUUACAAGCUUGAUAGUGUAUUGUGUUCUGGAGAUCAGUGUGUAUUUCUAUAUAUAUUUGAUUGAUCACUAUUCUGUCGUCGAUGACUAAUGUAGUUUUCGUGCCUUUAGUGAGUAGUUAGGUAGGCAUGCAUGACCAUUUCAGAAUUUUAGCUUCAUUUUCAUUUUUAAUAAUUUUUAGCUAGAUAUUAAUGAUUGUAAAAUUUAUAAUUCAAUAAUAUGUCAGCUUAGAUUUUUUUUCCUCUGGGAAGCAAUCAAAUCGUAAUGUUGAUACACAGUGAAGACUUAGUUGAUGCUUUUAAGGUAUAGUGAAAGCUGGAAAAAAAAGAAAUAUUAGAAAUUAUGUAUGCUUAUUUAUUGGGUCGUUGAACUAUGAUAAUUGCCUUUGGUAGAAAUGUAGAAUUCUUUACUCUGGUGAGGUCUCUCAUCACCCAUCUCUGACACCUGGGUUGGGGGACUUGGGGCAAUGCUGACAUGGUGCUGCUUGCAGUCCAAAGUACUCUUUCAAAAACCAACCACAUUUUCCAGAUAAUGGGAUUAUUCAGCCAGCCAUGUCUAUUCUCUGAAUCUGAGACUUAACAUGAAAACUGUUUUAUGGUAGGCAUGAGCUUUACUAGUAAACAACUAGAAUCUUCUGUCCACUAUUGGAGACAUGAGAACCCACAACGUCCAUUCAGAAGAUUAACAUCCAACUCAAAUUUAUUGAACAAUGCAUGGCUUUAUUCUUAAAGCUGCAGUAAGAUUUUUUUGUUAAAGUCAUUGUAAUCCACAACUGCUCCCUCUUUGCAGGAAAACCUGCUUCUAUACGCUAUGGUACUGGUGCGAUGUCUGGCUAUUUUAGCCGGGACAGUGUGAAAAUUGGUGAUGUAGUUGUGAAAAAUCAGGUUUAUUCCAAUCGUCACGUGUUCUGCACUUGUUCUAUCUUAUCUGUUCAUGUACAUCCUUUCCUACAAUAUGUGGGUUUUAUUGGGUUGUUCUGUUAGGAUUUCAUUGAAGCUACAAGGGAGACAAGUGUUACUUUCAUGGUUGCAAAAUUCGAUGGCAUUCUUGGGCUUGGAUUUAAGGAAAUCUCAGUUGGAGCUGUUGUACCUGUCUGGUGAGCAAAUCUGGCUGGCAAAGUGAUCUAACGUGUGCCUGUUUGGUAAUGUCAACUGUUGAAUGAAUAUUCCCUUUGUGUGUACUAUAUGGUAAAUUGGUAAUUAGAUCCAAACACUGUCACUCCUGAUUUUCAUUUAUGGUCUAGUUUUGCUUAUGUAUUGUCCUGCAAAAUGGUAACACUUAUGAAUUAUGUCUUUUAUAUUUUGUAGUCCCCUCAUAGUAAAAGAUAAUCAUAUUACCAUAAACAAAUUUACAGGUACAACAUGGUUAAACAGGGUCUUGUUGGUGAUCCUGUUUUCUCAUUCUGGUUCAACCGACAUGCUGAUGAAGGGCAGGGAGGUGAAAUUGUAUUUGGAGGAAUUGAUCCUAAUCACUAUAAGGGAAAUCAUACAUAUGUCCCUGUCACUAGGAAGGGCUACUGGCAGGUAACAUCUCAUCACUUUUCAGUUAGUUGAGUAUUGAUUAUUACAUUUUCAAAUGUAUUCAGUGGUAGCUAGAAAUAUUUUUGUGCUGCGUCUUCUGACAAAAUUCAAAUCCAUGAAUUGACCUCAUUUACUUCCUGCAGUUUGGUAUGGGCGAUGUCCUGAUUGGAGGAAAGUCCACAGGUAUCAUUUUAUCAUUUUUCUAUAUCUAAUGCGCAUGUAUCUAAGUGCAAAAUGUUCUACUCACUUUUGUAAAUGGCUCUGUGUUAUUAGGAUUCUGUGCUUCUGGCUGUGCAGCAAUAGCAGAUUCUGGAACUUCAUUGCUGACUGGUCCCACAGUAUGUUAUGAAUUUUGUUUUAUUUUUUUUAAUUUGCCCACCAGAAAGGAAAAUGGGUGUGUUGAAUCUAAUUCUGGGGUUGUUAUCAUUGAUUUAUUUCCUGAGCCCUGGUACCUAUGGAAAUUAUAAGAUUUGCAUUUCUGCUAUAAAUAUAUCUAGUAAUCAAAGUGACAAAGUAACUUCCAAAUCAUUUGACCUCUAUGCUUUCUGCUUAAGUUUUAAUUUCUAACCGGACUAGUGUACUGCACUUUUAAAUUAAUAUUUGUAUGUCCUAAUGAAUCUAUAUGGAUAUGCAGGCCAUAAUUACUCAAAUAAAUGAAAAUAUUGGUGCUGCUGGGGUAGUCAGCCAAGAGUGCAAGGCAGUUGUUUCUCAGUAUGGGCAACGGAUCAUAGAUCAGCUGCUAGCAGAGGUUUGUGCGUUCCUGAAGCAUGGACCCUCAAAUUUGUCUCAUUCUAGUUUGGUACUCAUAUAUUAGACAUGUGAGAAAUUUGUUGUGUUGUAGUCUACCCCAACUUGCUUGGGACUAAGGUUGCUGUUGUAUGAAAGAAUGCUGAAUUUUAUCUGGGAUCAUGAUGCAGACACAUCCGGCAAAGAUAUGCUCUUCAGUUGGUGUAUGUACUUUUGAUGGAGCUCAUGGUUUUAGGUAUGGAUUUAAUAUAAAUGUAUACCAUUACACUUCACAAUUCUGCAAGUAGUAAUUACUUCAAUGUUAGUGUUUGCUACCUGCUAUACUAGUGCUGACCAAAUAAGCUAGCUUAAUAUGAAAUGGGUGAACGGCAUGAAGUUAGUUUUCCAUCUAUUUAUAAGCUUUCAUAUUGUUUGUCUAAUAUCUUGAUAGUUGAGAUUGUUACUUAUGAUGCCUCGUGUGCAAUAUUAGCGUUGCUGGUAUUCGGAGUGUGGUAGAUGAUGGAGUUGGGGAAUCAAAUGGUCUCUUCAAUGAAGCUAUGUGCAAUGCCUGUGAAACGGCUGUUGUAUGGAUACAGAACCAGCUUGCACAGAACCAAACUCAGGAUGUAGUGUUGCAAUACAUUAAUCAGGUAAGUUUCAUAGCUUGUAAAACCAAUGCAAGAAUCUUACUUAAAUACAAGUUUAAAAAAUGUUGCAAAACUGGCUCCAUUCUGCAGCUGUGUGAGAGGCUUCCUAGUCCUAUGGGAGAAUCAUCUGUGGACUGCAGCAGAGUUGCAUCCAUGCCUGACAUUGCCUUUACCAUCGGGGGUAGAAAGUUCGCGCUCAAACCAGAACAAGUAUUGCAUCUUCUCUGUGGCUAUUAUCUUGUUUGUUUUUCAUUGAAAACUUUAUCCAGUUAAGUAUAUUCUUGUUCCUAUUCUACUGAUAAGCAAAUAAGGAUGCUAAAUGUACUCUUUUCAUGAACUGGAGGUCCUGUAAGUUCUUAUACAUCGGUUCUCAUCAGGUGUUCUCAUAUAGGCAUGCUAGAUAAUACUAAUAUAAUAAAUGUAAGGUUUCAAUACUCUAUUGGAAUCUAACUGGUGAAGAUACAUAUAAGGUUUAACCCUCUAUUUUAUCAUGCUAUUCAGGUACAAUUUCACUGGUAUAUUCUGCCAUUUUCCUUUUAUAUUCAGAAAACUGAUUUAUCAUUUCUAUUAUUCAGUAUAUCCUGAAGGUUGGUGAAGGACAUGCUGCUCAGUGCAUCAGUGGUUUCACAGCUAUGGACAUUCCUCCUCCUCGUGGCCCUCUCUGGUAAAUUACACGCCUUCAAAGUUCUUACAAAAUUUUCUCACCGAAAAAAAUACCCGAGUCAUCAUGGAACAUGCUUGUUUUGAAAUUAUUCGGCAUGUAACAAAUGUAAAGUUGUGUUGAUUCUUCCUUUGUGGGAUCAGCUUCCAAUUUUUGUUGUGCUAACUGAAUAACAUUUCUGAUAAACUACUACUACUGUAAAAACAAAGCUUAUAUUCCUCGCUCUGAUUAUGAGAAUUCGGUGACGACACAGGAUCUUGGGUGAUAUAUUCAUGGGAGCCUACCACACCGUCUUUGACUACGGCAACCUGAAGGUUGGCUUCGCGGAGGCGGCAUGAUGCGGCCCUCCAAGGCGAUCGGACGAACCCUACAGCAUUUGCAUUUCAGCUCGGGGUGAUGUCCUGCAAGCAUGUAUGUAUAUGCUUUACAUCCUCAAUAAUGCUUGUGUGAUCUGAGAUGAUAGACCUGUCUGUUUCAGCUGGCUAAUAUAUUUAUCAAGGCAGGGUUUCAAGCUGAUAAGUUGCUGUUGACCAUGUUUGUGCUGUCCUCUAGUGUUGAUUUUUUUUUUAACCCUUCAGCCUGCGCUAUAUGAAUAUGGGACAGGCGCAUUCUUGCAUAGUUGCAAUGCACGAUCUUCAGUUCAAGUUGUCCCAGCCGUCGUGCUGCAGAACUAUGAAUCAGGAUGCAAUCAGUAAGCAAGUGUUGACAAGAUAACUGGUCCAUCUCUUCUCGUCUGAAAAAGUUCCUUUCCAUAUAAUGGACGUGCUAGUUGUUUCCCUGAUGGUCAUCAAGGAACCACCAGAUGACAAUUAACCAAAGAUGAAAGCUGGUAGUGAGGAAAUUGAGUGAUCAGCAGCUCUCACGGAGUAACCAAGGUGGAUGAGAACAGAAGGAACUACUUGGACAAAAGAUCCCUUCAUAUAAAUCAUAACACAAGUGACAACCUUACUAAGUUACUACCACAGGCUGCUUCUUCCACAGCCUUGCACCAUAACUUCGCUCCUCCCGUGAUCAACAAGAACACUUAAAAGCAUGCCCUCUAAGACACGGAGGAGGACGCCACUUCGCUCCCGGAUGAAUCUUCAAAUCAUCUCGAGGAGACGUCGACGCGCGCGCACCAUUUAAACUCACCACACACACACACCCAUAACCCAAACGCACAAUAAAAAAAAAAGAGACGCGUUCCUGCUGCAAAUCGCCCUGAUCUUGACCUUAUUAGCAGCAGUCCAUCGCCUUCAGUUGCCGCCCUUGCCCGCCUGCCCCUGCUUGGGCUUGCGCGCGCGCGCGAACGCCCUGGCGAGCCCCUGCAGCCUCCGGCUCUGCGUCGCGAUGACGCCGGCGGUGGACGACGCCUGGCCCAGCACGACCUCGUACCCGUCCCCGUACGAGUCCAUCCCGUCCGCCAGCAGCUGCCAGAACAGCGCCCCCGCCGCGGGCCCGCCGGCGCGCGCCGACUCGUAGACCUUGCCGUACACCGCCCCGAACACCGCGUCCCGCUGGUCGCCGCUGUACCCGGGGUCCCGGCGCGACCUGCCGAACUCCGCCACCAGCAGCGGCUUCCGCAGCGCGUCCCGCGCGUCGGCGACGUGGGCGUCGAGCCAGGCGCCCAGGAACCGGAGCUGCGACGGCGCGUCCAGGCCGGGCAGCCACUGGUCUGGGUACGCGUGCACGGUGGCGAAGUCGAUCCCGGGCGCCCGGUUGUUGGCGACGAAGUCGGUGCCCAGCUGGUACCCCGACGGGUUCACGGCGGCGGCGCGGGACGGCGUCGACGCGCCGUAGAAGCCCUCCAUGCCGGCCUCCAGCAGGUGGGCGCCGUCGAUGGACUUGACGUGCGCCGCCAUCUCCGCGAUCCACGACUGGAGGGUCCGCCCGGAGAGGUCCGACUGGCACCGGGGCUCGUUCAUCAGCUCCCACGCCAUGAUCGUCGGGUCGUCCUUGUACGCCACGCCCGUGAUCGUGUUCACCCGCGUCAGCACAGUCUUCGAUCCACCGUGCAAAAAGACGAGCAAAGUUUUUGUCAGAAACGUGCUGUGUGGAACUAGCAACAAAAGAUUCAGACAAGCGAUGAUAACAGUAGGAGCUCUAAAGCAUACUAGUAUGGUCCUAGUUCCAGAGCAAGGCAUUGUUUGACUGAUUGUCCAAUGCAGACCAACAAGAUCCACAGAAUGUGUAACAUUUUAGGCCUUUUUCCCUCCUUUUCUCCUGCCUGUUUUCGAUGAACUUACUACAGUCCUACUGUACUAGUAGUUGCACAGUGCACAGUGUUCAGUACUAGUAUUCUCCACCGACAGCGUCACGGUAUUCAGGCCAAAGUAAGUUCACUGUAACUCGCAGUAUUCAGACCAAAAUAAUUUUACUGCCUACCAACGUUGAACUCGCAGUAUGCGCAUUGGAGUGUGCGUAAAGAAAGAUGCUGUAGAUUUGGACCCUAAAAUAGGAUGAUGCUGAAGGCGCAUAGCUCCCUGACAGAAACAGAACCAGUCUAUCCUUCAUUGUGGCCUCGAACAUACCACGUUGCACCUCUCAAGGUUGGAUAUUUUACCGCGGUGAUUCCACAGAUCAAAACAACGAGGAAAAUGCUCUAUCUCUUGUCUUAAUGCCAAACAUUUAUGAUUUUUUUAUUUCCUUGGCCAAAACAAGAAAGAAUCUCUCUUUGAAAACAAAUGCGAAGGCAACGAUUUCGAUUCAAUGGAAAGAAUUAACAAGGAGUGUAAUAAUAGCCUAUAUCUGGAGCUGAAUCUUCUAGCUUUAUCGGCACUGUCAGUAGAUAGCAUUUACGAGGCUUAAAAGAAGCAACAACCAAAUAAGCAGGGUGAAAUUCCUACCCCGCCGAAAACACACACACACACACAUGGUAAACAGAUCAUUGAUCGCCCAAAAAUUUGUCAAAGAACAGCCAAUCUUUUCAUUUCAACAAAUAAGGGAAGACUCUCAGCAAACAAAAACUGUGCAAAUUACUGUGAUACCCUGCUUUUUUAUUUUUUACCUUGAUAUGGUUCUUGUAGAAGCCCUUGACAACAGGGUUAGUGAAGAACUCGUCGUCAGAUCCAAUGCUCUGCCCCUGCUCUCUUGCCCACUGCACGUACUGCUUCCUCCCUCCAAAGCUGUCGUAGCUGUUCACAAGGCUCAGGAUCAUCUUAAUCCCAUGCUUCCUAGCCUCAGAUAACACGAAAUCCAACCCCUGGAUGAACACCAGAGAAAAAGAGACGGGAAUGCAUCAGCUCACGAACAACGCAAAGAAAGCAAGAACAACUUAAGAAACAGAGCCGUUGGCACAGAGGGGAGCGAGUGACAGACAAGUGCGGCUAAGGACCUGGAAGGUGUUCUCGUUGUAGCGGCCGGGGGAGUACUGCAGGGCAUUGCUGCCGCCGUCGCUGAACGCCCACGUCCUGGCCACGGAGAGGCCGGCGCCGGCGGCCUGGCUCAGCGCCGAGGUGACCCUGCCCCUCUGGGCGGGGUCGGCGCCGAAGGACAUGAGCCAGUAGGCGUUGAACCCGUUGGCGAAGAACGGGUUGCCGUUCAGCACGAAGCGGGUGCCCUGGACCCUCACGAACCCGUCUCGCGCGGCAUCUGCUCCUUGACGGCCGCCAUGGAUGCAGAGGAGCAGAAGCAGAGCAAGAGCUCCACGAAGCCUCAUUCUUCUAUGCACUCGAGCUGCGUGUGUGUUGCUGCCUCUGUCUAUCUCUCCUCUUCCUCUCGGAUGGCCAGCAAUGGUGGUGAGAUGAAGUUGGGAAGAAGAAUGGAACUCUGAACUGUGGAAGGAGGAGACGCCAAGUUGUGGCCAACUGAGGUUUAAAUAGACCACCAGGCAUGGUGGUUUCAGUACGUUUCGUGGGGAUAAACAGCAUCACCGGCCAAAUAAUUUGUGACUGUGAGGUGGGCCCACCUGUCAGCGGGUCUCCGGGGCUCCCAUCUUUCGAAUGAGAAGAGGGCACUACUAUAACUCUGUCGGUUCCGGCGCUUGAAUGCAAAAGGCUUUUGUUUUUGGUUGCGGACACCCCACAUGGGCGUUGGGAGCAUGAACAUGAUGGGGUUUCGAUGGUACGGCUGCAUUGGUAGGGUUUACCGAAUCCAUCUCGACGCCCAUGACGGAGUAGCAAACCGCAACUGAAUUUAGGGCCUCCCGCUGGAGUACCGCGACCGAAGUUCAAUGCAUGAUGCGGGGAUCUUCUUCUGCCCUCCUUGUGCAUUGGCCCAUCGUGUACGGUUUCUGGAUUCAGAUUUACAUGUUUCCUCUCUGUCUUUUUUUUUCCUGGACGGUUUUAGUUUCAAGUUGUCUAGUAGUACAUUCAUAAGUUGCUAAAAUGCAUUCUUUAUGUUUUAUUAGUAAUCAAGCAUCGUUAUUGCCUUUCGCAAAAAAAAAAGCAUCAUUAUUGCUCUGCCUGAUGUGAUGUAAAUUCCUUUCGGUUUUCACUUAAGACGCAAGAGUAAUUGUAUUGAGAACCACUUGUCAGGUUUGGAAAAUUCAUAUUACGGCUGCCAUUAUGCAUAGCCUAGUUGCGGCUUUCACCGCGCGAAUGUCUGGUUGGGUUGGCAUUCAAGGUCAUCGAAGAAAGUUAACAAUGCCGCAUUAGCUGCAAAUUUGAGGCGCAAGCGGCAGUGUGCUUAUCGAGCUCGUCUACCUAGGCUUAGACCUACAGGUCAUCGUAGCCCUGGUUCUUGUAGUAGCACUUGUACUGUAGGUUAGGUCAGAUGUUUAUUAUAAUAAACUCUGUCAUAUCGAAUAUUUUGAUAUCAAUUAAAAGGACUAAAUAUAAGUUUAUUAUAAAACUAGCUGCACAAGUUUAGAAUUUAUUCACGAGACGAAUCUAUCAAGCCAUAGCAUCACAUGAACUAAUUAUGGGCUAAUUAGGUUUAAUAUAUUCGUCUUGCAAAAAAGUCUAAAAAUUAUGGAAUUUAUUCUAUCAUUAAUUUAUAUUUAAUACUUCUAAUUCUAACUAGCAUCCAAACAUCCGAUAAACAUCUGAUAUGACGCGGUUUAUCAUAAAUUCGGGGCCUAACUUCCCUUGUGCUCGGUUAAAAAUAUGCCCACCUCAGCCAUCCAGAUGUUGCCGUCAACUCUUGCUGGUAGGGUCGUGUUCCACGGAGACGGAGACGGCGAGGAGCCGCGGCCGGCGCACCCUGCGCGAUAGAUGCGCCUGCAUCCAUCCAUUUCCAUGCGUUGUGACCUCACCGGGCUCCCCUGAUGUUUGGGCGGUUACUUGAAUUUCAGGCGCGGCGGCCUCUGGUGCGCGAGAGGGCACAGCACAGGUGCUGUUCUUGCUUUGCCCCCCGAGUCACGCGAGAUCGCAGGGUCAUCAAGCUAGGAUCGAAAGCCUGGGAUGCCUUUUUGUCGAUGUGGUAGUGUAGCGGCACGACGCUUGCCUCUUAAUUGCAGUGCAUAGCAGUGGUACCGCACAGGACGAUGGUGCCUUGUUGGGUUUGAAGGCAAGGUGCGUCACUCGCACUCACGUUCGCCAACGCCAAUAAGAUGGGUACACACAGAUCGUUAACUUCGCAGCUACGAGAGAUGCGCAUGGGUAGUGGUAGUCGUAGUACUACACCGUACCGGACCGGGCACCGAGAUCCAUCUCGACGUGGUACGUGUAUUUGUACCGUGGUCUGCGUUGCCUGCCGCUGAUGAAUUGCAGCAUGUGGAGGCACAUGGGAUCGGAUCGGAAUGGACGGGGACGCGUCGUCCUCUGGUCCUACGGGGAAAUGAUCCAUCCGGAACGGCAAUCGCCCUGACCGGUUGCCGGAAGUAUGCCCGUCGGUUUCGGCUCCUUCCCCGCAGAGGCGAGCGAGAUCCCGGUGCUAAAAAUAACUCUGCUGAGAAUGCGAGUGAGAUCACGGCAGAGGCUGGGAGGCAGUGACGCCCGUUUCUGUCGAGUCGGGGCACACCAGAUCACAUGGCCUCUCUCCCUCACGUGGAGGGUCCUCCCGCCGAACUGUGUGUGCCUUGGCACUUGGCAGGGGGUGCCGCCGCUCCGCUCCCCCUGUGUCUGUGGCUGUGUGCCUGCGUCCACGGCUCCACGCGGCGCGGCGCGGCCUGAGCUGCUUCCACGGCAGAGAGGACGGCGGUGCCCCCACUCACUCACCGACGCCCCCUAUUUCCCCGGUCACCCGCCGCUCCCAGUCUUUUCGGGGGGCCCGGGGCCCCAUGUCGCCUGCUGCUGCUGGUCCCGACUUCUCGUGCCGUCGUGCGCGGCGCCCGCGUCGCGUCAUCUGCCAGCUCGCGCUCUCGCCUCUCGGGCGUCGGCACCGGCCGCGGAGGAUCUGUGGUCCUGUCCUGCCUGGGUUCAUGGGUCUACAGGGGACUGUUGCCGUCUUGAUCAUGUUGCACAAGUGCACAGCGUGGCGUGGCGUGGCGCGUCGCGCGGAGGGGAUGAGUCGAUGAGAGGACGGGCCUCCUGUGUGUGAGGCAGCAGCAGGUUGCCUCGAAGCGCGACUGGCACGGGACGCAAUGAUGUGCCACGAACAUAUGGCCGGCCGGCUGGUGGUCCCUCAGCACAGAGGCCGGAUUGGAGAAUGGCUUCUGCGGAAAGCAAAGGCGUGCAGCGUCAGAUGAGGCAACCGCUUUGCGUCUCCGGGCGCUCCGACCAACAUCAGACAUGGGUCAAAACAAAAGGGCGCGAUGUUGGCAUGUCGCUGCAGCCCCCAGACAACAGGAAACUCGAAACAGCUCCGUCGGAAGUGUGCUCAGCCCGACCUGCUUCUAUCAUCCGGCGAGAGAGUCGGUAGUGUGCGUCGGGGACUGGAACAGAACAGGCACGUUGCCGCCGCGUCUGCAUCGUCGCACUGAAUUCGCUGAACUCUUGCAACCAGAGACGGGCUAGUACUUGAUUGAUUGGCUGUGGCGACUGGCAACGAAGCAAUGGCCCACGACGAGAUGCCGUGGGAAUCGGCAAGAAAUCCGUCAUCAGACUGCGCAAAUUACCGCAGGAUCCGGUCGACGGUACCAAAACCUUGGCAACAAAAUACGGAGUACUUCUCUUUGUAGCCGUGGAGCCUCCAUUGUUGUCCACCAACACAGCUUGAGAGAAGGCCUUUGGUUUACUAUUUCUUGUCUCUUGUAGUUGCUAGUAUUUGUUUCAGAACUUUUGAUCUCCUCCGAAGCUGCGGGGAGAACUUCGGCAUGGAACCUGCUGGCGCUCUGGUGGGUGGCAAAGGCGUCGACGCUGCGGGAUGUUGGAGAGCAGAUCAUGGGAUGGACUGCUUUUGGAGAGAGCGAAUCACGCUCAGUCUAUUGCAACUUCAGUUCUCUUUUCUGAUGCCGCGGUUCCUCAUGCUGAAUCAACGGCAAUUUUGCUGGUGAUAGGAAGAUGGUGAGCACCUGAGCCAGACUUGCAAAAAAAAAUCCAAAAUAGCGCAACAUUUUGACCUGGGACUUUAAGUAAUCGGACAAAGUCAUCGAGCAGACAAGACAGACUGCAUCAGAGAAAAAAAUUUGCAGUGGAUAUGGAUAACGGCAUGACGCUGAGCGAUCAUUCGCUCGUGCACGCCGUGAACCAGCGCUGCUCCCCGGCGCGCCUGACGCAGCAGGCAGCACCGGCCGGACUCGGUGAACCACCCUUUGUUGCAGAGCCGGAUCGCAGCUCGCCGAUUCGCCAUGGGCCCAUGGCACCAUCCCCUUCCACGCUGCUUGAGCGAGAAGAGGUCACCCCGUUUCGCAUGAGCCCGACCAGGCUGCUCGGGUGGCGGACGGUUUCUCAGCCCACGGGCCAAACAACAGGCGGCCCGACCUUCCACGCCCUGGACUUCUUUCUUUUGCCUGAACGAACAGAAUGGGCCAAGAAGCCUGCGGUCAUGGGCCGUCGCGCUGAACGAGAGAGCGGCCGCCGCCGCCCACGGGAGGAGAGGCGGCGGCGGCCUCAGGGCCAGGGGCCAGGGGUUUACGCGCGCGCCCCCCAAACGCCGCUAGCUCGUCCGCCGCCGAUUAACCGCUCCAUUUUGCUUUCUAUAAAAGCAGGUGAUCUUUGUCAAAAAAAAAAAAAUACUGUGGCCUGGUGCGCAGGCGGCGUCAGCUCUGGACUGCUGGCUGGAGGGUCACCCGCGCCGUGCCCGUACGCCUCGUCGUCCGGUGGCGCCCGUACGCCUCGUCCCUCGUCUAGAAAGGCCAAGACCAGCAAAUUAACGUAGCUAGUGAGAUGCAUGCUUGGUGCUGAUGGACCUACGCCGAAGAGAUCGAUCGAGCACAAAAUUAAACGAAGCUGCUUCGACGCCCUGGGAUUACACCGCAGGCGUGCACGUAACGAGUACGAGUUGUGACUUGUGAGCAGGUGUGAGUUGUGACGGAGGGUAGGGUCUUCUCUCCUGCACAGCCCUGCCGCAGUGGCUCCCAGCGAGCGCAAGGCGGACAGCAUCUAGCGUAGCAGACCAACUGCGUGAGCUCUGGCUGGCCGCGUGCUGCUCAAGCUAGAAAUCUUUUGCAUUAUGUGUGCUCGUUUUCAGGUGAUCCAAUCGUCCUCAAAGUCGAAGCUAGCCACCAGCGACAUGUGGAUUCCUUUUGCAUGGACAUCUGGGACACUGCUGCAAGCCUUCAACACACCUGCAGGUCACCAGCCUCCAGGACCAGGCUAACCCCUUCCGCAGCUUGCGGCGGGCGGCAUCGGGUAUCCAGCCUGCAGCCUCUAGGGGUCCUGCAUUCCUUCCUGUUGCGAUCCAAAAGCUGGCCUCGUCGCCACCAUCCACGCCGCGCGACCACGAGACGACGACACGACUGCCGGCUGCGCACCCUCUUGCUACCCGCAAAGGCGUGAAAGCCCUCACGUUCCGAUUAUUCCACCCGACGUGAUCACCAGACGGAUGCUCCACGCGGCCUGCCCCUUGCAUUGGAGAUGCAGAUGCAGUAGCGGCCGCACGGAAUGCAGCCGACGAGGCACAAGACCGGCCAUAGCCUUGAUCACCCCCGCCGCGUGCUGGUUCACGUCCGGGCUGGCAGGAUAUCCACGCGUCAAGAUGCGCCUCAGCUCUAAGAAUGUAACUGGGUAUCUAAUAGUAUUUUUUAAGUCAACUAAUUAAUUAUAAAUUAUGAUGGUAUACCACUUUAGUUUAUUUUCCCUCCCAAAUUAUUUACAUAGAAUGUCAUUCUAGUUUAUUUUAUCAAUUUUAUUUCAUUAAUUUUUUGGAAUGACCCAAUAACCCAAUAUCUAUAUAACUUGCAUCUCUGCUCAGCUCGAUGCCCGCCUUCAUCACUCAUCAUCAAGCGCAGCUUUCGGUUGCGAUCCGGCCUCGGAUCGGAAUCUGGUGACUGCGGUCAUGGUCCUCAUGGAAGAAUAAUCUUCCAUGAGACACUGUCAAGUCUUACACCGAUUACCAGUCGGCUGCCUGGUGCCAAUCACCUUAUUUCGUACUGAGACACUGUCAAGCUGUCAGAUAAGAAGAAUGUGCGCCCUACUAGCUGCUUCCGUGCUUAGAUGGGCUUUGGCUGGGUAUAUUUGAUCCGCCGAUGGAAUCUGCAUGCCCAUCAGGUUCAGGAUUGGCAUGCCUUUCCUAGCGAGGGAAAGGGCGAGCUCAGGGCAAAUGUGCUGAAUCCCUGUGUAAAUUGAUGCAGAGACCACCUGCUGGAUUCCAAUCCUGCAACUUGGCGCCCGGAAUCCGGCCGGGCUGCCGCCUUUGCAGAUUUGGGAUCCAGUUGAUGCAGACCACAGACCAGCUAGUGGUCUGAAAAUCCGAGAGAUUACACUUACACAGCAUGUAGCCGGACUGAAAUUAAUUCUGAGAUGCAGGUUAACUAGCUGAUUCAUCGAGCACAUGUGCUAAGCCAUCGCUGAGAUGUGCUCCGAGAAUGCAUUCCUUCAGAUCGGAUUCCGCUCGGAAAACAAAAGCUCAGAGGCCGGCCGGGUUCGAAAUAUCACGGGGAUCGGAAUCAUGAAUCUUUCUGAGCGCCGCCGCGCUUUGUGCAGAUUAUAUUCCACGCAAGAUCGAUCGACCUCACCCCUAGAGGCUAUGCAACUUGGUUUCUUUGGUCUGGUCCAACCCCCAGCGUCUUCGGAUGGACUCCAGCGCCUCCACGUCGGCUCGUACAAAGAUUCUGCAACUAGCAGCAGGAGCUCAUCCUGUGGCUGCAGAAAUCAUCUCGGGGUCCGAAAAUCCAUGCGUAAUUCCGUGGCCGACCUAGGAGCAAGAUGAUAAAGCAUCAAAAGUCAAAUUCCUUUUCCAAGGAAAUUGGAGAUAGGGAGAUCCGUAUACCCUUUGGCCCCACGGGUGUUUACACACUUUUACCCGCGGCAUGGAAUCGGUAUCCUGCGUUCUUUUCAGAGAAAGAUUUUGAGAUGCUUCCAUCAUCAACAACUAAUAUUGCCAUAACAUAUAUCUAACAGUAAGAUUAAAUCAGAACAUCAUGUAGACACUGAACCAUUUCUCCACUCGCCAAAACCGAAUUAAUCAAGAUAGGAAAACACCAAAUUAAUCGCCAGCGGUUGGUAUAGAGACCACAAAGUGGCGAACAUUAGUACUGAUCACGAAUUAGAUUCACAACCUUUGCCCCUUGGUCGAAUUUAUUAAGGGAGAUAACGUGCUUUAUUUGUGCCUUUUUGACAUGUCAUUUCCAAUCAGAGUUUUGUUAAGCCUACAAAAGUAGUUUAUUAUCAGGCCCAUAUGUUGUGGUUUUCCUGUUCCUUAAUUACCAAAUGAGCUAGGUUUCCACUUUUCAUUGUGUUCUUUUUUUUUGAGAAAUAAUGGUAGUGCACAGUCCAAUCUGCAUGCCUAACGUUCUAAACUUAACCUAUAUGUUCUAAUAGUACUGGCUAUAUGAAAACUAUAUUAACAUGUCCAUCUUAAGAAACGGUUUCAUAAACAUAAAAAUUUUAAUAUUAUAUAUGAUGCAAAGUUACAAAAGUAGCUGUCAAGGUAAGUUGAAAAAAGUAAAAGAAUAAUGUCAAACAAAAAAGAAUUGAAGGGGCUUUUAUUUGAAGAACGGAUCAGUGAACAUGUCAUGCUCGUUUCAGACCUAAGUUGCUCAUUGGUGCUCGCCAUUCUUUAUAAAAUAUGGGGAAAGUAUGAACGAGUGUGCUCUCAAAGAGUGAUGCAAUGGGGUCGUAAUUUUUUUCUUAGAUUAUUAACUAAGUCCAUAAGCUUUCAAAGUAAGGAUCUAUGUCCUUAAACUUUUUAAUGGUUCACUCCAAGCGACAAUCCAAGUACAUAAUUAGAUUUAGAGUGAACCUACAUGAACCACUUAAAAAGUUGGAGUCAGAUCCUUACUUUUGAGAGUCUAUGGAUCUAGGUGAGAAUAUGGUGUAAUUCACUCUAUACAAAAUGUCUCUCAAAAGAUUACAAGGUUCAAAGUUGAGUAAGUUUCUAUUAACGGUGUAUGGUAAGAACUAGAACUGAGGGGUUUAUCUAAUAUCAAGUAAACGCCAUAUGAAACAUGUAAUCAGGACAUUUGAGAUACACAUGUAUAUUUCUCCUACUCCCUACAGUCAAAAGUAAAAUAUUUUAAAUGCGAGCAGUGAACCUAUUUUAUAUUAACCGCCAAAUUAAUGGAUGAAGCACACUUUUAUUACAUGUUAGAUAUCAAAUAUGUUAAACGAAAAAUCAGCAGUCUGUCUGUGACGAUGUCUAAACACAUUGGAUAAAUACUUAAUAAAUGACUUACAGAACAAGCAUUGAGUGGUCCACAUAAUUUGUUGAAAAUUCAAAGGCCAACGAUUAAAGACCAAAGAACAGAUGCAAUUCUCUCUUCCAAGGUCCUGGCAGCCGACAGGGAAAUACCUAUUCGUUGGUCCAGGUCCAGCCCGUGCUUUAGCACAUAUUCUGCUUCUGCCCAUCUCAUGUGUACUGUCCAGACCAAGAGAACUUCAGGAGUAUAAAAGCUUUGAUAGAUUUUGGUUUUCUGAACGAACAUAGAUUUUGGGUUUUGAUUCUUGAAUCAGUAUUGUUGUCGACCUUCCUCUGAUCACCUGCCAAGAAUAAGCUGCUAUGUAUGGAUGUCAUAAUCAAGAAUCAGAUAGUUUGGAGUUUGGACAUUGUUAUAAUCACACAAGUACUGCCUUGGAAUCAGAGUUCCUUUUAUUCAACCGAGUCCCUAUGCCUGACCAAAUAGCUUUAUUUGCUCAGUAGUCUGUAUUUACUUGGUGUACCUAGUUUACUAAGCUACCAGCGGCCAAACCUACAUGCAGGGAGGGAUGGUAACGGAUCAUGACCCUAUAGGAUCAUACUCUCUUCGCAAUCCAACUUAGCCCUUAAUAUUUUUAGCUUAAAAUUGAUAAGAUUAGAGCCCGACUUUUAAAUUAUCUAGACUAAAAAUUGAGUCCUUUGCCACCCCUACAUGCAGGUCCACGGAAUAUAUUUCAUUCCUUUACGGGAGAGGCAAGCAAAAUCCCAUGGCCAACUAACCAUGGGUUCAAUCAUUCUUCCCAGUGGUGCAAAGCCAUCUGAUUUUACCAUCUCAUCGCUAAGAUCUGUUUGCUGUUCUUCAGGCAUGCAGAUGCCAUAGCCACGGCCUCUCAGAAUGCCGCACACGUCUUCAGUCUAGAGAACUGCUUGUCUUAGUACAGGAUCGGCUACAGAUAUGGAAAUUAAGAGCAUGUGUCCAGCUAUCACCCACUACUUCGAACCCAAGAUAAUGAUCAGCACCAUAUGUACCUUGUGAUUUGAAGAGAUAAAAGGUUCUUGUAUUUUGAUAGUAGUUCUGAUGUCUUAUUCUGAGAAUAAUCUCAAUUUUUAAGUGAUUUCUUUGUAGUCUCCAUGUUUCUUCCUUUUUGAGGAAAAAAUGAAGUUAGAAGACUGAUUAGAAAAUGAAGUUAGUAGUUCUGAUUAGAAGGAAAAUGGGGUCAUCAAUUUACCUAUAGACAAGAAGUCAGCCUAGUUCAACUGGUUGGGGUAGGGGGUAUGGUUCUGCAUCCCAACUAUCCAUGCAUGUUGAUUGUUGAAGCCCAUUUGGGUACCUAUUUUAUUCCUAAUGAAAAACCACAGUUCCUACUAGGUUCUAUCUCUCUCAUUUUUUAGUUUACCUAUAGAUGACGUGUGCCAUGCAUUUUGAUCUUGACUCGUUUCGCUUGUUAGUGUCAGAUCCGUUUGUCAGCGGGGCACAUUGCGGCCCAAGAAUCUUCAUUCGAAAAGGAAGCUCUUUUAUCUCCGUAUUGGAAGAUAUUGGGAUUCUCCUUUCCAUCACACCCACGCUCACGCACUACUCUUCUUGUGGGUCCUGAGCUGAAAGCCUGAGAAUCCUAUUCACCUUUCAUUCUUUCAAGCUUCCACCAUAUUGCAAGCAUCGCAGCUUGACGGCAGUAUGAGCAGCUCACGCUCGCCAAGCGUCUAUAAAUAGGAGCCACCCUAGCAACACAGAGAUCAAAACAUCAGAGCAUUGAGAGAGCUAAAAGCUUCAGUCCAGCUAUCCAACAAGAGUGUCUACACAUAAGACAUCAGCACUAGCUAGCUCGGUUUCCAAGAAAGAAAGUCCAAUCCAAAGAUGUCUGGGUCGAGAAGCUCUUCUUCCCGCAGCGCUAACGUGGACUCCACGUGGAGCAAAAAGGAGAACAAGCUGUUUGAAGAGGCCCUCGCCUACUACGGCGAGGACACGCCCGACCGCUGGCACAAGGUGUCCCGCGCCAUUGGAGGCAGCAAGACGGCCGACGAGGUGCGCCGCCAUUACGAGUUGCUCGAUGAUGACGUCAAGCUCAUUUUGUCCGGCAAUGUUCCGUUCCCCAAGUACAACACGCAGGGAGCUUGGAACUAAUAAGGUAACAAAGUAAAAACCAACCUUAUCGUCCUCCAAUCUCAAUCUGUGUUCUGUGAUCAGUUGGUUUGUAGUUUGUACACAGCCCCGCGACAUGGCUCUGUAGUUUGUUCUUACUGUUUGGCCCCUAGAGUCGCAGUGACACUUGAUCACGCGGAAUUCUAACCCUAAACUAUAAUCUCCCUACUCAAAAGAGAAGUUAAGAUCUUGCAGUACUCUAACCCCUUCAGUUCCAGCAGGCUUGUAGCCGACAUGCACUUCAGUAUCUCCUUUUCAAGUAGUACUUAUUGCAAAAGGGUUUUUGUUCCACUUCCAAAGCGGCACAUGUCUUUUGCAAAAGGCAACCAUGCAAAGGCUAUUCUAUGCUCUCUUGUAACACAGCAGGACCAUUCGUACCCCUUGAGGAGGCAACUACUGUAAAUAUCCACGAAUAGCAGACAAUUGAUGAGCCGGGCAUUGUAACCAAACUAGCAUCGAUCCAUGCAUACAGGGCUAGUACAAAGAAAAAACGAGCACCUUUUUCUAUCUCAAUUAAUUCUAGAGUUUCAUGCAAUCCAAAUGCAACAUAAAUGAUCACCUAUUGUUAAAAGUAAUUCGUUUCAAAAAUAAAUGAUCAACUAUCAAGAGUUCCAAAGUUUUGUUACUGUUCAGAUAUAUAAACUUAUAUAUGGGUGUGUCUUUUCCUUUACUUUUCAGGAGUGAAGCAUGUGAAGAACCGACGACAGACACUACUACUGCUACACGAACUAGAUAUAUUAGAUAUAUACUCAAGGAAACAUGCUGAUAUAAUGUUGUUUUCUUAUGAAGUUAAUGAUCGCUUGAUCAAAAAUAAAAGGAGCGAGUACCAUAUGUACGUGUGUUGUGUAUAUAUACAACGAUAGGUUGUACGCAAAUCAGCAGUUAUGCUACAGAAAUUAGGGUACACUAUCUGCCCAUAGUGUGUAGUUAUGGUCCCCUAGGACUACUUGUGAAGUAAACAGUGAUGUAAAACUGCUGUACCGGUUUGCUAAUUAUAAAUAUAAUUGUGCUUGGUUGAAGAAGUGGAUCAUGCUCCUCCAUGUACCGUCGUAAGGUC
rnacentral:lncRNA from 1 species